rnacentral:lncRNA from 1 species
UUUUUAAAUUUAAAUAUGAUCUUAAAUUUAAAGUUUGAAAUUUAAAAUUUAAAAUUUUGAAUUUAAAAUUUGAGAUUUUAAAUUUCAAAGUUAAAAUUUUAAAUUUAGAAAUAUAAAUUUAAAAAUUUUAAAAUUCAAAUUCAAAUAUAAUAAGUGGAUAAUAUCAUUAUUUUUUAUUUACAAAACCCAUUAUCUUUCUUAUUCUAUCUUACCUAACCAAACGCUAUUUUUUUUUAUUCCAGGAAUAACCCAAUUUUCAUCCAAACGCAAAAUUGAUCUAAUCCUCGCUUAUACCUCAAUUUAUACCUAUCCCUGGAAUAGCCACUUUUUUCUUAUCCCCGAACCAAACGAUACCUAAGUGAAUUGAUUAUGUAUUUCUAACAGUUUGAGUUUUUUGAAUUAAUGGUUAGAGCCAACGACUCGACAAGUGGUGCAUCUUGCUAUGUAGCAGGAGAUCUGGUUGGGCCGAGUUGUGUUUGAAGUGGCGUGGGGCUGGUUGGACCGAGUCACAAAUGAGAUCCGUGUGCAUUGUGUCUGUAUACUUUAAAUGAAUUGAUUUGCGUAAUUUAAAUUAUUACAUACAUCAGAUAUUU